GACGUAGGGGGCCAGCGUUGUUCGGAAUUACUGGGUGUAAAGGGUUCGUAGGCGGUGCGGCAAGUCGGGAGUGAAAUCUCUGGGCUUAACCCAGAGGCUGCUUCCGAAACUGCUGUGCUUGAGUGUGGGAGAGGCGCGUGGAAUUGCAGGUGUAGCGGUGAAAUUCGUAGAUAUCUGGAGGAACACCGGUGGCGAAGGCGGCGUUCUGGACUGUCUCUGACACUGAAGAACGAAAGCCAGGGGAGCAAACGGG
rnacentral:rRNA from 1 species